ACGUAGGGGGCAAGCGUUGUCCGGAAUGACUGGGCGUAAAGGGCGUGUAGGCGGCCGAUUAAGUCUGGAGUGAAAGUCCUGCUUUCAAGGUGGGAAUUGCUUUGGAGACUGGUUGGCUUGAGUGCGGAAGAGGCAAGUGGAAUUCCCAGUGGGGGGGUGGAGUGCGUAGAGAUUGGGAGGAGCACCAGUGGCGAGGGCGGCGAACAGGGCCGUAACCGACGCUGAUGCGCGUAACUGAGGGGAGAGAUCAG
rnacentral:rRNA from 1 species